rnacentral:rRNA from 1 species
UACAGAGGGGGCAAGCGUUAUUCGGAAUUAUUGGGCGUAAAGGGCUCGUAGGCGGCCAACUAAGUCAGACGUGAAAUCCCUCGGCUUAACCGGGGAACUGCCUCUGAUACUGGAUGGCUUGAGAUUGGGAGAGGGAUGCGGAAUUCCAGGUGUAGCGGUGAAAUGCGUAGAUAUCUGGAGGAACACCGGUGGCGAAGGCGGCAUCCUGGACCGGCAUUGACGCUGAGGAGCGAAAGCCAGGGGAGCAAACGGG